GACGGGGGGGGCAAGUGUUCUCCGGAAUGACUGGGCGUAAAGGGCACGUAGGCGGUUCGUCGCGUCGGGAGUGAAAACUCGGAGCUCAACUCCGAGCCUGCUUCCGAUACGGGCAGACUAGAGGUAGGCAGGGGAGAGCGGAACUCCUGGUGUAGCGGUGGAAUGCGCAGAUAUCAGGAGGAACACCUAUUGCGAAGGCAGCUCGCUGGGACGUAACUGACGCUGAGACGCGAAAGCGUGGGGAGCAAACAGG
rnacentral:rRNA from 1 species